GACAGAGGUCCCGAGCGUUAGGCGGAAUCACUGGGCUUAAAGCGUGUGUAGGCGGCGGCCUAAGUACCUUGUGAAAUCCCACGGCUCACCCGUGGAACUGCUCGGUAUACUGGGUCGCUUGAGCCACUUAGGGGGCUACCGGGAACAAAUGGUGGAGCGGUGAAAUGCGUAGAUAUCGUUUGGAACGCCAAUGGUGAAAACAGGUUGCUGGGAGUGUGCUGACGCUGGAGACACGGAAAGCCAGGGGGAGCAAACGGG
rnacentral:rRNA from 1 species